GACAUAGGUGGCAAACGUUAUCCGGAUUUAUUGGGCGUAAAGGAUGCGUAGAUGGUGGAAAAAGUUAUUGGUCGAAGUCAAGCUCAACUUGGCGGAAGCUGAUAAUACUAUUCUACUUGAGGGCAGGAGAGGUUGGCGGAAUUCUGUGUGGAGCGGUGAAAUGCGUUGAUCUACAGAGGAACGCCAAAAAAAGGCGAAGGCAGCCAACUAUUCUGCUCCUGACAUUGAGGCAUGAAAGCGUGGGGGAGCAAACCGG
rnacentral:rRNA from 1 species